GAAAUCUGGUACCUUCGGUGCCCGAGUUGUAAUUUGGAGAGGGCAACUUUGGGGCCGUUCCUUGUCUAUGUUCCUUGGAACAGGACGUCAUAGAGGGUGAGAAUCCCGUGUGGCGAGGAGUGCGGUUCUUUGUAAAGUGCCUUCGAAGAGUCGAGUUGUUUGGGAAUGCAGCUCUAAGUGGGUGGUAAAUUCCAUCUAAAGCUAAAUAUUGGCGAGAGACCGAUAGCGAACAAGUACAGUGAUGGAAAGAUGAAAAGAACUUUGAAAAGAGAGUGAAAAAGUACGUGAAAUUGUUGAAAGGGAAGGGCAUUUGAUCAGACAUGGUGUUUUGUGCCCUCUGCUCCUUGUGGGUAGGGGAAUCUCGCAUUUCACUGGGCCAGCAUCAGUUUUGGUGGCAGGAUAAAUCCAUAGGAAUGUAGCUUGCCUCGGUAAGUAUUAUAGCCUGUGGGAAUACUGCCAGCUGGGACUGAGGACUGCGACGUAAGUCAAGGAUGCUGGCAUAAUGGUUAUAUGCCGCCCGU
rnacentral:rRNA from 1 species